rnacentral:lncRNA from 1 species
CUAUAGGUUGGUAUGUACCCAAUUGUGACUAAACCAAAAGAAACAAAUCUGGAAACUGAAGUAUCAAUACGUGAAAAGCGUUCUUUUGGUAUUGGGAGUGCCAGUUGUCUUUGUUUCAUGAACUACUUCUCCGUAAUAGCAUGCAGCCAUCUUCAAGAGGUAAAACAGCAUCCCCAGGAUAAACAGGAAUACUACACUCUUCCUUAAAUAACAAAAACUGCGGCUGGGCGUGGUGGCUCACACUUGUAAUCCCAGCACUUUGGGAGGCCGAGGUGGGCGGAUCACGAGGUCAGGAGAUGGAGACCAUCUUGGC